AUUGAACGCUGGCGGCAGGCCUAACACAUGCAAGUCGAGCGAGCGGCGGACGGGUGUGCAAUGUAUGGGGAUCUGCGUGAUGGCGGGGGAUAACCUCUGGAAACGGUAGCAAACACCGCAAAAUAUCAUAUGACCCGAUAUGGGAUGAGCUUGUAGGGGGGGUAACGGCUCAUCUAGGCGACGAUCCCUAGCUGGUCUGAGAGGAUGAUCAGCCACACUGGGACUGAGACACGGCCCAGACUCCUACGGGAGGCAGCAGUGGGGAAUAUUGCACAAUGGGCGCAAGCCUGAUGCAGCCAUGCCGCGUGUAUGAAGAAGGCCUUCGGGUUGUAAAGUACUUUCAGUCGGGAGGCGUUACCGGCAGAAGAAGCACCGGCUAACUCCGUGCCAGCAGCCGCGGUAAUUC
rnacentral:rRNA from 1 species